rnacentral:lncRNA from 1 species
CCUGCGACAUUGGAAUCAAGGACAGGGUACAUUUUUUUCUCCAACUCCUUCAAGGUGCGUUGACAUCUAUCAACCUCUCAGGAUGGCUCCAUCCUUUUGACUUCUCCCUUCUUAUCUCGGGUGAAGAUUUUGACCGGGAUAGUGUUGAUUCUCAUUGCUUCCUUGUUAGGCUUUUUGAUAGGCUUAUCUGUCUUUUGUCCAAAAACUCUCCUUUUUAUGCUCCAUGACAG